rnacentral:rRNA from 1 species
CCUACGGGAGGCAGCAGUGAGGAAUAUUGGUCAAUGGACGAAAGCCUGAACCAGCCAUGUCGCGUGCAGGAUGACGGCUCUAUGAGUUGUAAACUUCUUUUGUCAAGGGAUAAAAUGAGGCACGUGUUCCUGUCUGUGUGUACCUUAAGAAUAAGCAUCGGCUAACUCCGUGCCAGCAGCCGCGGUAAUACGGAGGAUGCGAGCGUUAUCCGGAUUUAUUGGGUUUAAAGGGUGCGUAGGUGGUCAUUUAAGUCAGCGGUAAAAGCUGUGGGCUCAACCCAGGCGUGCCGUUGAAACUGGGUGUCUUGAGAAGUCGAGAGGUAUGCGGAAUGCGUGGUGUAGCGGUGAAAUGCUUAGAUAUUGCGCAGAACUCCGAUUGCGAAGGCAGCAUACCGGCGGCGAUCUGACGCUGAGGCACGAAAGCGUGGGUAUCGAACAGGAUUAGAUACCCUUGUAGUC